AUUGAACGCUGGCGGUAUGCUUAACACAUGCAAGUCGAACGAUGAGAAAGAGCUUGCUCCUUCGAUUAGUGGCGGACGGGUGCGUAACGCGUAGGAAUCUACCUAUUAGUGGGGGACAACUUAGGGAAACUUAAGCUAAUACCGCAUACGCCCUACGGGGGAAAGAAGGGGAUCGCAAGACCUUUUGCUAAUAGAUGAGCCUGCGUAGGAUUAGCUAGUUGGUGGGGUAAAAGCUCACCAAGGCGACGAUCCUUAACUGGUUUGAGAGAAUGAUCAGUCACACUGGAACUGAGACACGGUCCAGACUCCUACGGGAGGCAGCAGUGGGGAAUAUUGGACAAUGGGCGAAAGCCUGAUCCAGCAAUACCGCGUGUGUGAAGAAGGCCUUAGGGUUGUAAAGCACUUUCAAUUGGAAGGAAAACCUCGAAGCUAAUACCUUCGAGUUUGACAUUACCUUUAGAAGAAGCACCGGCUAACUCCGUGCCAGCCGCCGCGGUAA
rnacentral:rRNA from 1 species